AAUAAAUAAUUCCAGAAAAAAGGUGAUCUUAACCUUGUUUUUCUUGAUCUUGAGGGUCACCUAUGUGGGCGGCCCAACCUGUCAUCCAUGUGCUCACUUGCUAACUUUUGUUUCCAUGGAAACUAGAUUUGUUUGGCUUUGAAUAAAACUUUUACUAU